GGACGCGGAUUUCGUGAGGCCUCGGUCCGCUCGGCCACUGCUCGCCUGGUGCAUCUUCCCCGGCGCCAGGAGGCAGCGAGCGGGCGGGGACCUGACGGGAUCCGCGGCGGCGG
rfam:Saccharopolyspora rectivirgula strain DSM 43113 contig00026, whole genome shotgun sequence.